AUAACCAUAUUAGUAUUAGUUAUGAUCUUGAAAUUGAAAAGAUUUGGCGGUAAUUUAGUCUUUUCAGAGGAGCCUGUUCUGUAAUCGAUGAUCCACGAUGGAUUUUACUUAAAGUUUAGCUUGUAUAUCUCUGUCAUUGAGUGUUUUAUUAGAAUUAUUUUCUUUAAAUAUUAAUUUAUAUAAUGUCAGGUCAAGGUGCAACAAUAUUUAAGGUUGAAAUGGGCUACAUUUAAUGGUAUUUAUUAGUAUAUUUGUUGGAAUAUAAUUAUUAAAUAGGAUUUGAAAGUAAU
rnacentral:rRNA from 1 species